rnacentral:lncRNA from 1 species
CAAAUCUCCCCCAGAGAUUACUUCAGAGGGUUAUAUAAAUCCGACUGAUUUUAAUGACUGGCGAAUCUCUAUUGGCUCUCCCAAAAUAGAUGAGGAAUUUCAGGCUGGUUCAGAAGAUAAAUAUGUGGAGGAUAUCAUGAUACCUGCAGAGUCAGACUUAAUUUCUUAUCCUAAAAAGAAAUCUAACUCCUCAACCUCAAAGCAGAAAGGCAAACGUGCUCAUAGAGAUCACGGCAAGGCCCAUGACACUAAGGUAAGCUUUAAUGCCGAUGAAAUUGCCAAUUGCAUAUUAUGUUUCAUUAAUGAUUGUGUGGGUUUUCAUAUGUCCUUCAAUUUGCCAGAAGCCUAAGAAAGUCGUGGAGACCGAGAGCACAAGUCUGAUGAGUAAUUCCACCAAAUUGACAAAGAGACAAGAACGGAGAAGUGUUUUUGGGAUGGAAAAGGUUAACACAGCCUAUCUUUUCUGCAUUUUCUUGUAUAAUGUUCUGUGCUUUUAAAUGGAACUUGCUUUGUACUCAUAAGUAGUUUAAUCGUCAUGUGGCAAAUUAAAAGAGUCUAAGCAUACGAAUCUAACAUGCAUCAAAUUGGCAAACCAUGGUCUGAAGAAUGAAGUAUAUAAUGAGAACCAGUAAUUUACUGUCAUAACCUUUUAGACCCAACUAAAAACCAGAAUGGCUGUAGGUUAAUUUUAAUUGGUUUCUUCUACGGUUUAGAAUGCUAAAUUUGUUGCAACUUCUGUUUUGAUAAUAUCACUCAAUUCUGAUGGUAGUUAUUUCUCUUUUAGUGCACAUCAAGGGACAAUGGAAGUUUCACAGAGGACUUGAUUGGAUGCAGAAUCAAAGUUUGGUGGCCAACGGAUAAGAUGUGAAUGUUUCUUGAUUUAGUUGAAAAACAAUGAUCUUUGUGUCAUUUUUGUGAAAAGGGCGAUUUUAAGUAUAGGAUGUUAGGCUUCAGACAACAUUUUCUGGCAAUAUAAUUUUGAAUCUCUCCCCAAAAUUACUUACCCCUUGAGGAAUUUCUUUAACAUUUUGGAUCCCUGAAUGGUUCCAAUGUCAAGUUUGCAUCAAUCUCAUGUUAAAAGGGGGGAAAACUUCAUCUUCUUACCUUGUAUGUACCAUUUUCAUCUUAAUGGCCAAUAAGAUAUAGAGAUCUUUCUUGCAGCUUUGGUAGCCAUGCUUCACUGAGCUUCAAAUAAGACACUUCCUUCAGUUCAUGGUUAUUGACCUCCAUGUUAUAUAAUCACACACUAAAUAUUUAUCAUUCUUUAUGAGCGAGUCAACCUAUUUGCUAUGUUUUCUUAGUUCCUGUUUUACACCAGAAAUAGAAUACCUGUUUCCAUAGGUGACAACACAAGAGUGCUGGUAAUCAUUAAUAACAUUGCAACAUGUUUUCUAUUGUUGCUUCUUGACUGUGUAACAAGUAUGCUGCUGCAAGAUACAGAGUAUAUGUUGUAACUGUCUAACUGUACAGGUUCUAUGAAGGUGUUGUCAAAUCUUUUGACUCCCGAAAAAAGAAGCAUGUGGUAAGCUGCAUUUUUGCUUCCUCAUUCAUUAUAGUUAACAGAGACCAACUUUAUUAUGGUUAACCUUUUAUCUCUCACUGUGUUUUUCUUAUUAAUUUGUUUCAAAGAUAUCAUACGAUGAUGGAGAUGUGGAAGUUCUUCAAUUAGAGAAGGAGCUCUGGGAACUUCUUGACAAUGGCCAAAAAGCUUUGAAGGUUUAAAUAUUUAUGUCCACCAUAUUUUUUAAUAAGAAGUACUGGCGGAUUUUUGGUGGCAGCCACUGCACCCGCUGGACUUAGAGUAAAAAAUACAUCUAAAAUCCUCUCAAAACUCUAAAAUUCGGUUUAUUUCUUUCUCAUACCUUGUAUCUUUUUUGUCUUGCUGGUUUGCUUUCAAGUUUGAUACUUGUUUGUUUGAAGUGUGUGGAUUAAACAUUUCCAGAAUUUUUAUUGCAUCUUUUCAUACCAUGGCUGUUUUAAUAUGUAAACAAUUACGGAAGAAAAAUAUUAUUACCUACAGAAUAAAUUGAUGAUUGUAGUGCAGGAUUGAUGUUGCACAACUUCUUACAAAUCAUAGCCUAAGAAUUUUGAUUAUGAUUACAAUGUUAAUCUCCCAUGUCAAAUUGGAGAAGCAUGCUUACAAAUGGAUCCUUGAUGAUUAAUAAUGAGUCCCUUGUGUAGCAUUUUGAAGUAUGAAAACAUGUAAAGAUUAAUUCAUUGAAAGAACAAUUGAGACAUUUUAAUAUUCUUUGUUACUACAGUAUUUCAGAACUUUUAUACUUUAUGCCCACGCUAUAAUAAAUUCUUGGCUCUGCCCCUGAGUAUAUGUGUUUGAUUCUGGUUUACCUUUGAGCAAUGAUGAUGACUUUAGGUCUAACAUGAUUUCUACAUGGUGCAGCAGUCAAAUUCCACGAAGGGUUCCCGUCCUAAAGGAGUGUAAGUUCUACCUUCUUGUACCAUUCCCAAUUUACAGUUAUGUAUGGUUAUGUUGGAUAGGAUACUAUAGUUUCUCAUUCAAUUGGCCAUCUCUUUCUCUGAGUUUGUGUGUAAACUUGUGCGUAUGUCAUGCGUGUGUUUGUUGUGCAUUUGUCGUGCAUGUAUCGUGCAUGUAUAGUGCGUUUUUCAUGCAAUUGUCGUGCAUAUAUCGUGCGUUUGUCGUGCAUGUACAGAUCAUCCAAGAAAAUUAGUUGCAAAUAGUUGACUAGGAAUAUAUCCGUGUUUCAGUAUCUUAUGUACUUGAAUUGACUGACAGAUCUCCAUCACUUCGAGGGAAAGGAACAAAAACCUCAGGGAAAACUCUGAAGCAGAGACAGCAUGGUGUAUUCAAGAGUAGUUUCUCCACCAAAAGUGAGGGAAGCCCUGGUGUUAAACACCCUGAAUCCGUCCCAAAGUCCAAUGUUGAUGAUUUAGACUCAGGUGAGGAUCUUACUGUCUAAAGUUGUUGGUUAUAGAAUCAAAUUUCUUUUCUUGUCAAUGGUAUUUUGUCCUAUUGUCAAGUAUUCUUUUUUCUAUGUUGCCAAAUCACUAUAUUUGAGAUUCUCGAUUGACUCUUCUGUGUUACUUGACAAUUCAGAGGAACAGAAAUACAGGUUUGCAUAUGGUGCAGCUGAUGAGGAUCAAACGGGCAAGGAUGAGAAACAAAUAGAGGAAUGCGAUUCUGAAGAUACUCAGAGUGAGGAUGUCGACAGACCCCAUCGUGUUGCUCUCAGGUCUGAUAAUAACAACAGAUAUCUCUACAGCAGACAUGGCAACUAAUUAUAAAAUAAUUUCACUUUAGAUUGUUGGAAAAAAUUAAUUAGCUGCAGUAGUGAUUUGAACAAUAUAAUGCAGAAAUAUAAAACUUAUCGUCCGAUCGAGUCUCGUGACAGCACGAUGUCCUAAAGUGAAAUUGCCCGUCAAUAAUUGCUGCGACCUCCGUGGACAAUCACUCCCAGGAUACAACGAUCGUAAACCACUUGUGUAGCAAUCACGAAUGAUUUUUUUAGAACUCUCAAUUGUACUCCAGAAUAGAUAUAAAAACCCGAAUAUAAGAAAUUCACAAUAUGAAAAGAGUGAUUGAUUCUAUUUUCUAUUUGUGUGUCUUUUCCCAAAGCAAGAUAUGGGUUUAUAUAGGUAAGAUGGUAGUAACAGUUUUCACCAUGUUAAUGCAGAAUUUUAAUGACUGAGUAGUGGGUGUUUUAAUGGCAGUUAGUGGGUUGUUACAAAAACAAACAGUCAUAAAAUACUGGCUAGUUUUACCAAUUAAAUAACAAAAAAAAAUAUUUAUUUUAGUCAAGGAAGCCCAAGAGCCCAAGGCCCCAAGGCCCCAAUCAAGACAUUUUAAUAUUUGCGUGGGGAGUGAUUCGAACCCCUGACGUCCCACACAAAUGUCACAUUUCCCACCACUUUGGCACUUUAUCUAAUUUGAUUAUUUCUUUCACAUUUUAUAUUUAUACCAUAAAUACAUAACAAAACCAUUAUCUGAAUCAAUAAUUUAUUGACUAAACUAAGCAAUUAAAUCUUUAUUUCUAGUGUUUUAAAUUACAUUUUCCCGAUUGGCCUCGGAAAAUUGUGUCAUGAAUUAUAACAUUUAAGAAACAUCUUUUAUUGCUUCAGGUUUGCUAUAUAGUACCCAUGUUAGAGUUGCUUCUGAAAAUGAUUUAUAAAAGAUAAAAUGUUUUCUACUUCACUUUUUCUGAAUUAUGUGUUUUUCCCUUCUGCAAUUCCAUAUUGGUAAUUCAUAACUCAUUUUAAAUAAAUUCUCAAGAAAAAUGUGCUACAUAUGUUUUUCUCCACUCAGAUUGAAUGAAUAAUGUGGCUUUUAAAAUUUUCAUAUCAAUAGAAUGAUCGGUUAGAUAUUCGUUUAAAAGCGGUCGGCUUAGUUGGGGACCUAUUUGCUUUGCCUGGAUUUGAUAUCUCAGAGGCAUUCCAGCCAGUCUUUUUGGAGUUUUUGAAAAUGUUGACAGAUAGAGUGGUUAAGGUCAAAAUGUCUGUCCUUCAGCAUGUCAAGAUUUGUCUGCUGGCUAAUCCAUUUGGAGCUGAAGCCCCUCAAAUGAUCUGUAAGAACUUUUGAAUUGUUUUAUCUGUAAAUGUAUUUCUCUCCUCUCAUUCUGAUGUGGUAAAAAACUUUCUAGCUGCGCUUUGUGACCGACUGUUGGACCAUGAUGAAAUUGUCCGUAAAGAAGCUGUGGCUGCUGUUUGUGAUGUGGCUUGUCAUUCCCUAACAUCUAUCCCUGUUGGGACCAUCAAGCUGGUUGCAGAAAAGCUUCAAGACAAAUCUGUAUGUGUAACCAUCUAUGACCGUGCACUUCUUCGGUUAUUAGUUUUUGCCAAAUACCUUGUAUGUGUUCUGAUAACUUUUUCUGCAAACUUCAGAUUCUUGUUAAACGGUAUACAAUGGAGAGGCUAGCUGACAUAUUCCGGGUUAAUUGUCUACAUCAUUCUAGUUACUCAACAAAGAACGAUAAAUAUGAUUGGAUUGUUGGGAAGAUUUUAAGAUGUGUUUAUGAUAAAGAUGUCAGGUACCUUAUUGAAUUUCUAGUCCCAGACUUAGUUGAUUUUUUAAGAAUUGAAAUUUUUUAGGGAAUGUAAACCUGACUCUGCUAGUAUAUUAGUCAGUAAAUGAUUUCAUUUCUUAUACAUUCCACUUGAGAAGUGAGGCUAGAAGUCACAGCAAUGUUUGUAGAAUUGAUUCUGUGAAUGCAAUUUUUAUAGAUGUAUAGUUUUUUGACAUGUUUGGAUUUAGAUUUGAAGCUUUGAUCUUUCUUUUGCAGAUCAGACACAAUUGAAACCCUUCUAUACCUAUCGUUGUUCCCAACUGAUUUUUCAGUCAAAAACAAGGUGGCAAAUUGGGUUAGAAUCUUCUCUGGAUUUGAAAAGGCAGAGGUUAGGGCUCUUGAAAUGAUAUUGGAGCAGAAGCAAAGGUUACCAGUGCUUGGAUUUGAUUACACAAUUUCUAUCUGGUGUUCAUAGAACAACUUUAAUUUGCUUUUAAACUCACAGUAUCUUAUGCUGCAAGUUACAUAUUUUUUAAAUCAUGUUUCAGAUUACAACAAGAAAUGCUCAAGUACCUUGACAACAGAGCGUCUCGGGUACUCAAUUCUUAUUUUUUAUUUCUUUUAUUUUUUAUUUCAUAUAUAUAUAUANNNNNNNNNNNNNNNNNNNNNNNNNAAUCUGAAACUGGAGGAAAAUUUAAGAAGCCGGAUUUAAUUUAAAUCUUAUUUCUUGUCCUAAUGCAGGAAGGUGAUGUCACCGAGAUCCGAAAGAAAGUUAAUGUUUGCUUCCAUAGUAUGUCUCACUUUUUCUCUGAUCCUGCAAUUGCGGAGGAAAAGUUUCAGAUUCUUGAUCAGUUAGAAGAUUCUAAUGUUUGGAAAAUUAUGACCAGCCUUCUUGAUCCAAAUACUAGCUCUCUUCAAGCUGGUAGUUCACGGGUGAGACACUAAACAGAAUCUGAGCUGGGAGCCUUCUCUUCUAUGCUUCCCAGCUUUUUGGGAAGCCCUUAAGUUUAAAAUGAUAGCAAAAAUAUGUUCCAUGUUUUAUCAGACAAUCUUGAUUCUCCUGCAGAAUGAUUUACUGAGGGCCCUUGGUCAGAAGCAUCAAAUCUACGAGUUUCUGAGUUCUCUUUCAUUAAAAUGCUCGUAUUUACUUUUCAAUAAGGAGCAUAUCAAAGAACUUAUUCUGGAGGCUGGUGUACUGAAAUCUUCUGGAAGUACCGAGUUAAUUUUAUCUAGCAUGAGCAUACUUGUGGUAUGACAUUACUCUCUCUCUCUCUCAUCCACACUGAUCUUGAAUGGUGAAAUAUAUAGUAUUGACACAGUUUGGUGUCUUUUUCAUUUCUUUUUAAGUUGACAUUUCACUAUACAUGAAACAAAUUUAUAUUUUCAAUCGACUUUACCAAUCUCUCAGUGACGAUAUAUGUGUUUUCCUGUUGAUGUCUUUUUCCCGAAUAUAACACCUAGCGACGAUUAUUUGUGACAAAAUAUUUAAUGAUGCUACAGUGUGCAAUAGUUGCUAGGAAUCUGAGCUUGAAAAUUAUGAUUGAUCCACUCGGUUAUCAAUAUACAGAAUAACAAUGGAAAAAUUGUGAAUUUUAAUUUUCUGGAUUAAUCUUCGUGCUAUAUGGAAGUUUCUUUAGAUUAGUCUCAUAAUCUUACUACUCUUGUUGUUUCCUGGUAAUGUUAGAAUCUUUAUUCAUAUUCUAUGAUGAAUUUCAGAUUCUUGUACGUUUCAGUCCUUUGCUGCUUGGCGGGAUUGAAGAAGAUUUGAUACAUCUUCUUGAGGACGACAAUGAAAUAUUUAAGGAAGGUGUUUUGCAUAUUCUUUCAAUGGCCGGGGGAAACAUCAGAGAACAGCUGGGAGUUUCAUUGAGGUAUAAACUUAUGAUUAAUUGAUCUGUAAUUUACGUACUCACAUUUAUGCAUGUAUUUGAUUUCUGUUUUGAAAUGCUAUAUUUCCUUUUAGAUCAUUAGACCUUAUGCUGAAGCAAAUAUGCAUUGAGGGUAGCCGAAGGCAGGCAAAGUAUGCAGUUCAUGCCCUUGCAUCAGUAAGAAAAGAUGAUGAUUUCACGUCACUAUCUGUUCUCUACAAGGUUUCUAAUUACCUAAUCAUACAUAGCCAGUUUUCAUCUGCAUGGGCUUUUCAAUUUCCUCUGGAGUUUAUUUUUCUUUUUCUUUUUCAAGAGAUGUCGAUGAUAGCCAUAAUCUAUUUGUUUCUCAUAUGGACAGAGGCUUGUUGAUAUGCUUGAGAAAAAGUCACAUUUGCCAGCUGUAUUACAAUCUCUUGGAUGUAUAGCACGGAUUGCUAUGCCAGUGUUUAAAACAAGAGAAAGUAAUGUUGAAGAGUUCAUAAAGAAAAACAUACUGGAGAGCAUCCAUGUACGCUGUUUGAAAAGUUAUUUUGAUCUGUUAUUUGUUUUCUCUUGUUUACGGAAUUUCAUGUAAAACAUGCUCUCACCUGCAGAUAUCGGGAGAUGAAGUGAAUGAAUGUUGGAAAGCCAGAAGUGAGAUUUGUUCACUAAAGGUGCAUCUGCCAGAGUAUUUUUUGUCCCCCCACCACCAUCUAUAACUAGAGCACCCUCUUAGCAGAAAUUUAUGCAGUAAAUGCUAAUCUGAAUGAUUUGCAGAUUUUUGGUCUUAAAACAUUGAUCAAGAGUUAUUUACCUGUCAAAGAUGCUCAUCUUCGUUCUGGUAUUGAUGACCUUGUGGAAAUUCUAAAAAACAUACUCACUUUUGGAGAAAUCUCAAGACACAUUGCAUCAAGGUAACCAGUUUUAUGGUGUUUUGAACUUUUAGAGUUGACAUAUGUAAAUUUUGGAGUAUUGCUUAAUUAUCUUGGCCACUAACAUGGAUUUCCUUUGGCACGUUUCAGUUCGGUUGAUAAGGCUCAUUUGAAGCUUGCUGCAGCAAAAGCUGUUCUUCGUCUAUCAAGGCACUGGGAGCAUAAAAUUCCUGUUGAUGUCUUUUAUAUGACCUUGAGAACUUCUGAGGUAGAGUUUUAUUUACCUGACAGUAUUCCACUGUUCAUGCGAUGAUAGUUCUCACGGCUGCUACACAAAAACAAUUUCUUACAGUCACCUUGAAUCUGUGCAGACUAAUUUCCCUGAGGUAAAAAGGCUACUACUCAAUAAGGUUCAUCAAUAUGUAAAGGACCAGAUUUUAGACCCGAAGUAUGCUUGUACCUUCGUACUUGAUUAUGGAUAUCAGCAGCUUGAUUUUGAAGAGGUGUAAUAUACUUAACUGACCCGUCUCUUGCACUUGGAAGCACAUUCACAGUUUACGUAGCUUUGAAACAUCACACAAAUUUAUUAGAUGAGACCUACAUAAAUUUCUUAUCUCCUAAUAUAUUUGGCAGAACAAAUGCAAGUUGAAUGAUAUCAUACAUAUGUGGAAGCAAGAAAGGGCACACGAAGUUUCUACACAAUGUGAUGCAAAUUCUGCACCAUUUUAUCCUGAGUACAUUCUCCCAUAUGUGGUUCAUGGUUUUGCUCAUCAUUCUUCUUGUCCUAAUGUUGAUGAAUGCAAAGAUGUCAAAGCAUUUGAAACUAUUUACAGGUAUUUUAUGUUGACAAUUAUCAUUUAUAAUGAUGUUUCAAGAUUCACAUGGAACUAAUGGAGAUUAAAAGCAGUUUAUAAUGGCUAAUUUUGGAUUCACUAAUUUGAGUUCUUCUUGUGAUGACUGGAUUUAAUAUUCAUAAUGAUUAUUUUGAAUGUGACAGUUCCACUGCCAAAAAUACUCUCUUUUGGGCUGUUAUGAUGUUGGGAAAAAAAGGCAUCUCAUGGCAUCUACACUGUGAAAACUUGUCUAAGAAAUUAUGAGAGAUAGUCUUUGAGUGUGUAUGUAUUGAACCUGUUCGAUAGUGAUUAUGAGAAUUGAUUUUUUGACCGUUAGUGAGAAAAGCAGGUCCCACUCGUGAGUGAGGAAGUCAAAAAUGACGGAUGGAAUAAUGAAAUAACGGUUAUUUUUUGGAGGUAAAAAAUUGCUAACAAACGGGGUUAUAUUCUGAAAGCGAUUGUCCUCUGUAAAUUGUUAAACACACAACAGGAAUACAAUUUUUGUCAAUAAACAUGUGAGUAUAAGAUGUGUGGCAUUGGAAUUUCAUAUAAAUUUCUUAAACUGCUUUCUACAAAGAGGUGAAUAUUGUUGGUAAAAUCAAUUAUCAAACUUUUGUGUAGCACAUGCAUGGAACGAUAAAGCUGAAGCUGUAAUAAUGCAUCUCCCUAUAAAUAAAAUUGAUGUAAAUAUUUUUGAAAUAUUUGCGAUGAUAAUUGGUUCUCGGUGAAUUUUAUCUUCAUCAUCCAUGCCUUUGCCAUAGCUAUUAAAGUCUUUUGGACAUGUAUCCAUUUUAGGCAAUUGUAUUUACUCCUGUCCAUGCUGGUAACUGGAGAUGAAGACGGAAAAUCUGAUGACAGUAUUAGCAAGGAGAAAGAAAGUAUUUCGUUGUUAUAUUCUAUCUUUCUGUGUAUCAAGCGCUCAGAAGAUGCUUUUGAUGCAACCAAGUCCAAGGUUGGGUAUUAGAUACUGCCAUGUUUAUUUCACCUUGUAGCAUUAGAAAUCCCUUCAUUUUAAAUAGAAAGAAUAUUUUCACAUGUACAAUAUAAACACAGACGAGAGGCCAAGAAAGGAAAAAGGACAGAGGAAGUUGUACCUCCAGGAAAAAAAAGAGAGGAAAUAAUACCUGCUAGAGAACUAAUGAGAUUAGUGUAGUUUUUACGUCAUUUGAUCUGAAUGUUAAAUAUUACAGAACUCCUACGCUCUCUGUGACCUUGGGCUGUCAAUCGUUAUGCGAUUAGCUCCAAAAAAUCUUCAAGACCUAGGUGCAUCAGUGGUGUUACCUCCAACUCUAUACAGACCACUUGAGAAGAAAGAAGGAGAGGACCUGCUGGUACGCUCAAUCUCCCUUUAUCUGAAAAUGAAACUUCUUUGAUCUGCAUUCAUUAAUUGAAUGCCUCGAAAGCGGAACGUAAUUUGCUACUUCUACUUGGCUUUGGAUAGAUUCUGAUAUCUGUUGAGUAGAUGCAAAUCAUGUUCAUAUGAUAUGGAUGUUUUUUAUUAUUUUUUGAUGCUGUAGUAAUGUUUAGUAGGAACUUUUUGGCUUCACCAUCACCUCUAUUACAUAACCUCUAGUUGGGCCUCUUUCAGUUACUUUCUAGCUUUACCGAAAGUUGAAAACUGAACUCCUAAAUCGAGAAGAUCGAUUCUUCCCCACCCACCCACAAACCUCCAAAUCCCUGCACAUGCACACAUUGGAGGUAUAUAGAUAGGUGCUGGGUAGAUAGAGUCGGUCCAGUGAAAUAUUUUCUUCGAGUACUAGAAGUGAUCCUGUUCAACAGUUGAUCAUAUAGUUCAAUCUGACAUUAUAAAAUCUCCUGAUUAUGAUCUCUAUGACUCUGUUUAUGGUUUAUAUGCAUGACAGACAUACUUCUUAUAUUUGUACUAGGCUGGUGAAGAGAAGACAUGGCUGGCUGAUAAGAGCUUCUUGGCCCACUUUGAAUCACUAAAUUUUGAAGCUAAUGGAACUGUAAGUUCGAAAAAUACUGCCACCUAAUGGAUAAAUAAUUUUAGCACUGUUACUUACACUGCUUGACAAUUUAAGUACAAUGGAACUUUAAGUUUGAAAAAUAUUGCAACCUAAUGGAUAAAUAAUGUUGGCACCUCUAUUGCACGGAUACUGACAACUUGUCCAUGUCCAACAUGUGUCCACCGGAUACAAACACUCUAUCAUAGUCAUUUUCUUUUUUAUCAGAAUUAUUGUAUAUCUUUAAUUUAAAAUUUUUAUUAAAUAACAAAUAGGUACUUAUAUCUAAAAGAAUUUAACAAGAAAAAUUUACAACAAGUAUAAAACUAAAUUUAUACUAUAUAAAUGGAGAAUUUUAAAUAAUAUAAUCAACGUGUCGAUGACGUGUCAUAUUAGUAGGUUUUUGAAAAAGCACAUGGUGGUGUGUCCAACAUGUAUUUUGACGGACACACUUUCUGUGUUGGUGCAUUAUAGGUUAGCAUUGUUACUUACAUUGCUUGACAAUUUUAAUCCAAUGGCACCUUGCCAACUUCAGGUUAAUAUAGAAAUUGUUGAGGAUCAGAUCAUGAAGGACAGUGAAACAGAUGGCAGCGAGAUGCAAUUAGGAAAAUUUGUGAAACGUGUGAAAGCAAAGGGAGUAAAGUGGAAAAGAGAGGUGACUGAUGAGUUUGCAUCUGCUGGAGUGGGAAGUAAAAAUGAUAUUGAUAUCUUGAAAACUGUGAAGGAAAUAAGUAUGGAUAAUUUAGGCACAACUGGACAGUUUGAGUCUAAUAAGAGUCAUGAACAUGUUUAUAAAAAAAGUAGACAUGGUCAUAAGUGUCAGAUGGAGAAAACGAUCUGUAGUGAAUCAAAGGAUGUUUCUGUACCAACACAGAGGAGAUCAUCAUCUGCUCAAGGUUACAAAUCUCCCUCAGAGAUUACUUCAGAGGGUUAUAUAAAUCCGACUGAUUUUAAUGAAUGGCGAAUCUCUAUUGGCUCUCCCAAAAUAGAUGAGGAAUUUCAGGCUAGUUCAGAAGAUAAAUAUGUGGAGGAUAUCAUGAUACCUGCAGAGUCAGACUUAAUUUCUUAUCCUAAAAUGAAAUCUAACUCCUCAACCUCAAAGCAGAAAGGCAAACGUGCUCAUAGAGAUCACGGCAAGGCCCAUGACACUAAG